GUGCUUGCUUCAGUUGCACAUAUAUUAAAAUGGGAAAAAUACAGAGAUUAGCAGGCCCCUUCACAAAGAGACAUGUGAAUUUGUGAAGUGUCCCAUAUUUUG
ensembl:snRNA U6 U6 spliceosomal RNA